GACAGAGGGUGCAAACGUUGCUCGGAAUCACUGGGCGUAAAGGGCGUGUAGGCGGGAAGGAAAGUCAGAUGUGAAAUCCCCAGGCUCAACCUGGGAACUGCAUUUGAAACUCCCUUUCUUGAGUACCGGAGAGGAAAGUGGAAUUCCUGGUGUAGAGGUGAAAUUCGUAGAUAUCAGGAGGAACACCGGUGGCGAAGGCGGCUUUCUGGACGACAACUGACGCUGAGACGCGAAAGCGUGGGGAGCAAACAGG
rnacentral:rRNA from 1 species